rnacentral:rRNA from 1 species
UACGUAGGGGGCUAGCGUUGUCCGGAUUUAUUGGGCGUAAAGAGCGUGUAGGCGGCUUCACAGGUCCGCUGUGAAAACUCGAGGCUCAACCUCGAGCUGUCGGUGGAAACCGUGUGGCUAGAGUCCGGAAGAGGAGAGUGGAAUUCCCGGUGUAGCGGUGAAAUGCGCAGAUAUCGGGAAGAACACCCGUGGCGAAGGCGGGUUGCUGGGCCGACACUGACGCUGAUGCGCGAAAGCCAGGGGAGCGAACGGG